GUACACUUCUACGGGAGGCAGCAGUGGGGAAUUUUGGACAAUGGGCGAAAGCCUGAUCCAGCAAUGCCGCGUGAGUGAAGAAGGCCUUCGGGUUGUAAAGCUCUUUUGUCAGGGAAGAAACGGUGAGAGCUAAUAUCUCUUGCUAAUGACGGUACCUGAAGAAUAAGCACCGGCUAACUACGUGCCAGCAGCCGCGGUAAUACGUAGGGUGCAAGCGUUAAUCGGAAUUACUGGGCGUAAAGCGUGCGCAGGCGGUUUUGUAAGUCUGAUGUGAAAUCCCCGGGCUCAACCUGGGAAUUGCAUUGGAGACUGCAAGGCUAGAAUCUGGCAGAGGGGGGUAGAAUUCCACGUGUAGCAGUGAAAUGCGUAGAUAUGUGGAGGAACACCGAUGGCGAAGGCAGCCCCCUGGGUCAAGAUUGACGCUCAUGCACGAAAGCGUGGGGAGCAAACAGGAUUAGAAACCCGAGUAGUCCCAU
rnacentral:rRNA from 1 species